AUUAUAGGCACCAAGCAAUUCAAAGUGCCCACACAGUUUGUUUUCGGGAUAAUGAAGAAUCCUAACCGUAAUUUUUUAUGCGGAAAGAAUAUUCGAUCACGAUUGUUGUUGAUGUAAACGAGAAGUUGUUAUACCUCUCAAUAAAUGCGGAAUAAGCCCGCCAAUCAAAAGAGCAAAGUGCAUCGAAGCAUUUUUGCCAAGAUUUUCUUUGAUAUAAAGUACGUUUGCAUGCAAGUAAUGCAUUCACUUUGAAUUAAGGGAAACGUCGAAGUAAAAAUGGGUCUGUAGAUCAGUUGGUUAGAUCGCACCCCUGAUAAGGGUGAGGUCGGUGGUUCAAGUCCACCCAGACCCACCAAUUCUUUAGGAAAUCUUCUUGGUUUAUUCAGAUUAAAAUGCUUUUUAUGAGAGUGUUUUAAUCUGGAAUAACCAGACGUUCAUUAAAAAUUUGGUAAAUAAAGAGGUAACACAAGCGUACUUGUAUUGAAACAGCAAAGCCGUAUGAUUUUGAGGUAAUUGAGAUUAUAU
rnacentral:misc_RNA from 1 species